UCCUGUGUGAUUAUUCAGGUCUGAGUGGCCGGGAAAUGAAAUGUAGCCUCUGCCUAGAGUUGACAAUCCAACACAGAUCGAGCAGAAGCAUGCAAAACCCCAUUCCUCCCGGAAGGACAUCGUUGAUGUUGGCAGUUAAUGGUUGCAGAGGAAGGAGGGACAUGCCAUUUUCUUAAGUUGCCCCAUGACCUGUAUAUAACCUCACAGCCAUUCUCAUGAAAGAAGGGGUUCAGCAAGAGUAGGAGGAUAAUAAAGACAGAUAAUGGGGGCAGAAAUAAUUAAAAUACAUAAUAUACAUUUGUGAAAUUGUCAAAAAUAUAAAAGGUAAAUUCAUUGACCGAAAAAAGAGUCAGAGGGUGUAGUGGCUCAUUCCUAUCAUCCCAGACUGCUGUGAGCUCUAGGCUAGCCUUGGCUACCUAAUGAGCUCUAGGCUAGCUUAUAGUGAUGAUGCUUGAGUGACCCUUACCCUUGACCACUGUGAAUAAUGCUGCAUCAGAAUGGUUGUGUAAAGAUCUCAAGUUCCCACUGAAAUGGUCUGGAUGUGGGGAGGAAGGAGUUUAUUGGAAAAGUUAUUUGUGCCGUGGACAAAGAGGCAACGGCAUGGUAUGGGCUUCAAGAGAGUUCAGACCCCAGCAGCGAAGACAGACAUCAUGGUGGAGUCUUUAAAGAGUGGAAUCAGAACCCCAUGUGGCAGAAAUGGGCUGAGAGCUAGGGACCCUGAGGCAGUGUCUGAUAGAUGUCUGCUGAUAGAGAUGGAAGCGGAGAAUUGCUACGAAGCAUUGGGCUUGAGAAGCAGCUAGAGGCUGGGUUCUAACAGGAUGUUUCACACAGAGCUUCAGUUUCUUCCAGCCUAUGCCCGGGAGCUGAACUGCUGGGUCGCGUGGCACCGCUGUGUUUAUUCUUUGAGGCAAAGCCACGUGGCAGCUGUCAGUGCCACAGCGACUCUGCCUUCUCCACUGGUGCCCCAACAAGCUACCCUGAGUGUUCCACUUCUCCCCUCCCCUCUCUCUCUUUCUAGUGAACUCAGAAUCACUCUGGCUAUGAGCGCCAGCAGCCUGAGAUGAAGUUCCUCUUGAGACAGGUUCUCAGUGUGGCCCAGGAACUCAGGAUGCCCCUGCUUCUGCCUCCUGAAUGCUGCUGGCAUUAUGGGUGGGCACCACCACACUGCUUUUCGUGCUAAGUAAAAAUUAUCCUGUGGGUGUGGGGCGGUGAUUUUGAUUUGUUUUCCUAAUGAUAAGUUGUUAAGCAUCUUGUCCUGUCCUUACCGACCAUUUGCUUAUCUUUGGAGAGCGACCUCUUUACAUUCUUUGUUCAUUCUUAAACCCGGGUUUGCUGGUUUUUUUCGGUUGCGCCCAGGAGUGACUUCUGUUGCUGUUAUUGGUUGCUGUUGUUGAGGCACCACCUUGCAAUGUAACCCAGGUUGGCCUUGAACCUCACCCACCAGUGAUUUUGCUGGCAGGCGAUGUGAGAAUCCACUGGAGAGGAGAAUGAGGUCCUCCUGGGGGGAUGCCCUGACCCUCUUUCCUUCUCAGUUCAAGUUUUUCUCCACAUGUAUUUGUUAAGUUGGAAGCGUUGACCCCAGCCCCUCGCAUCCAGUCUAGCUCCCAGGCCUCAGAGUUGUAUUGGUUUGGACUCCAAAUCCCAGCAUGCAGGGUAUUUAAGUGAGUUCGCAAAAGAGGAACACGUGGUCUCUUCCCCCCACCCCUUGGUGGUCGCAUUAGCAGCCUCCUGUUUUCCCCUGGGGCCACCCAAUUGCGCAGGAUUCCCAUUAAACCUGGAUGUAUUUAAUUUGGCUUGUUGUGAUUUGGCUUGAUUGGGAUUUUUGCAUUGGCAGAGAGCUCACAUUAGGAGCAAUUCCUAACAGUAUUGAGGGAGGCGUAGCAGCGUGGAUGCCAAGGUGCGCAUAUGUGGAGGUCAAAGGACAAUUUACAGGAGUCUGUUCUCUCCUUCCACCAUGCGGAUUCUGGGGUUCAAACUCAGGCCCUCAAGCUUGGCCGCAAAUUCCUUCAUCCCCUGAGCCAUCUCCACAAGUCCUGCUCUAGGUUUUUUUUGUAUAGCCUGGACUAAAGCAGUAGUCAGACUCUCGGUCUCCAGAAAUAAAUCCGCUGGGACUCUGAUCUCCUAGUGCCUUGAGGACACGUGACACAGGCUUGCCCAGAGCUCAUUAGUCUAUCGCGUGGAGCCAGUGAUUAGCUCAAGGAGGGGCCGAGUCUCUGAGGGUGCAAACUCCUCAGACCUCGACAAACGCCUCAGCUUAGUUGAUCUGCUGGCAUGACGUGAACAUGGGCUACUGGUAGUCUCUGCCAUAAUAGCAAAGUCCAUCUACAGAAAGAAAUGCCGCCACCUGGAUGGAAGGCAAGUCAAGAGGAAGUGCUGGCCGGCACUUGUGUCUCUGGAUCCAGCCAUACCUGAAAGCAGACACCCCUGGGGUACAAGCUAAGAGUGCUUGUUCCUCUCUUUCCUUUCGUCCUCUCUUUCCCUCCUCAUCCUCUUUUCGAGCACUGAUUUAAACCAGUUUCUGUCCGGGCAGCAGAGAACAAGUGACUAACACAUAUCUUCCUCCUUAGCUCUCUGUCCCCACGUGGUCAUCUUCCUUUCCUUCCACUUCUAACCCCACUCCACUACAAUUGCCCUCUUCUCUCUCACCUCCCACUUGAAGAAUGGCUCCUUCUAGGGACCCAGAAGGCAGAGCAAGGUGGGGGAUGCUGGGGAGACUGUUUUUCACGUGACCUCAUUUCCACAGCUCCUUCUGCUUUGGACCUCACUCUACCUGAACCUUGAAUGAUGGGGGGACUUUAGGAGACUGGGUAUCUUUUGCCAGUUGGCAUGAGCUGGCGAGGGGAACAUCCAGCAGCCCCUUUCCUGCCCAGGCCUGCCAGGGCAGCCCCACCUCUCCCUCCAGGCUGCUGAAGCAGAGGCUGAGCAGGCAGAGGAAUGAAUACAUGAUCCCCAUGGGGUUUCCUGGGGAGAGUGGGAAAAGGUGAAUAGCCAGGGACAAUUGAUCUGGUGUCUUGGUAUUUUGGUGUGGCUUUUUUUCUUUUGCAGCUGGGUUCUCCCUGGAGGGUUUCACACCCGGCUCAGGAAGAGGAAGCCGCCUCCAGGUGUCAUAGAGGGUCAAAUAGUCCCUUGGGAGGCCCUGGUGUGGUGUGGCCAAUGGGAGGCAGCGGUAGGUGUUGGAGUCUUCCUCAGCGACUACAAGAGGGGAAAUCCAAAGUACACAGCGAGGUUGAAAGCUGGUCCCAAGUCACACUAUUAGUGAGAACUGGCAGUCACGCUGUGACAACCUAGCUCCAGAGUCCAAGGGUUACACCACCAUGUCACACAGCCUCUCAGUGUUGCGAAGUGAUGGAUGCCUGUGGGUGCCACUUGAAGGAAUUCACGGAUGCUCAAGAAGCUGGAGGUGGAGCAGGACCUCCAAAGCCAAUAGACCCAGAUCACACUGGAGCCAAGUGACUCUGGCCAACUGCUUUAUCUCUUUAAUAAAAGUCACUCUGCCUGUCUCAUGAAAGUGUAGCGCCGGCACAAGGAUUACAGAGGUCCCUCAUAUUGAAGAACAGUGGCUGGUGGCCUCUCUGGUCACCUAGGCCGCGGAGGGCACAUAUGAGCUCCCCUCCCUAGUUAUCACCUCUCUCUCAUGCCCUCAGGAAGUCCUGGAAGGGUCCUGAAUGCAGGGACAGCAUCUCCCAAAAGUUGUGAUUCAGUUUCUCCUGCCGUAUGGAAGGUGAGCACGGCUUGGUGAGAGUGAUGCUCUCAGGCCCUCUGCUGCCCCCGGGGCUCUCAGGCUGAGCUGCCUGGAGCCCUGUUCUCAACUCUAUAAUGUCGUCAGAAGACCUUGGGGGUCCUGAUCAAGUAUAGCAGUCUGUUUGUCCUCCCGAUCCCAGGAAGGUCUGAAACCACGGAUGGUCAGGAGCCUAUGCGCAUGCCACUGUUUCUUCUUGUACCUAUAAUAAUAAUACCUAUAAUAAAGGUUAAUUUCAAAGUCAGGCACAGGCAGAGAUGAGCAGCAAUGAUUACUAAUAAA